AAUGCCUCUGGUUUGUUGUGACAGGGAAGAUUUGUUUUUAAUCAGUAUUCCUUUUGCUAUUCGUCGUCUGCGAAUGCAAACAUCACCAUCGGAAUUUAGAUCAAAUCACAGUGAUCAGCCAACCGGAGAAUGGGUGUAAAUUUCAGGCAGACCACCCGGCAUUUUGAGAUGAGUUGCCGCUUAAGGCCUUCAACAAGAUCAAGGAGAGCAUCUACGCACAGAUCCAUCCAGAACUAAUCCGACUUGUAAUGCUUCAGAGAGACUAAGACUGAGAUAGUACAAUGGACUCACCAAACCUAAACUUGUGAAAGAUGGACCUGAGCUUACUUCUGGACAGAAGGACUCCCCACCAGGAAAGUUCUUCGAUGGUGUGACACAAGAACCUCUCUUUUGGCCAACAGCCGACGAGGAAUAGAUUUCUAAGCUUGAUGGGAGCUGCACCUCUUGUCAAUCUCGUCAAAGUAAAGGAAACCGAGAGGGGAGAGACACUUUGCCUGAGUUGAUUCAUCAGAAUGGAUUUCCCUGCUCUUUGGAUCCUCGGUGACAUCUUGGUAACUAUACUACUCCAAGUUUGCUUGAGUGGACAACCAUCAAGGCUUCACUGAUGCUGCCAAGGGUGUAGAAAUCAAGGCUGAGAAAGAAACCUACUUUGUAAUUUGGAAAUAAUACUAUUUCUGAGUAAGGAUUGAUUGGCCAAACAAAAAUAUAAUAAUGUUUGCACUAUGGGUAUAUCAGAAUAAUGGAAAAAGUACUAUCUUUUUAUUUACUUACCCUUUUCAGUGUAAUGUGAAACAAAACUUUAUUUUUGUAUAGACCUCCUUUUUUUUUUUUAACAACUGUUGCCCACCUGUUACCCAAAUUCAGUGUAACAUUAUUAUGUUUGUUUGGCCCAACAUAUCAAAUUAGUGUUAUGUAGAAAGUAGGCUACCUGUUUGUUUGGUCCAACUGUGAAAAAAAAACAUGUUGGUUUCGCUGAUGCUGUCAAGGGUGUAGAAAUCAAGGCUGAGUAUUAGAAACCUACUUUGUAAAUUAAUUCGAAGAAAAACUAUUUAGGUUGGGCAAACAAAAAUAUAAUCAUGUUUAUAUAUUUGUUUGGCCAUAACUACCUACCAAUUUUUCAUCAAAGUGGGAAAACAUAACUAAAUUUUUGUUUGGCCAAACUAAAGCAACAGAUUUGGCAAAGUUCAACGUGAAAAGAAACUUUAUUAUAUUUUUGUUUGGCCCAACUGUGAACAAACUGUUAAAUUUUGGUGUUAUCGGAAAACUAGCCUUUUGUCAACUUAUUCUUCUUUUUGGGGCACUGUUUUCCAAAGAUUUCCAACAUUUCCAGUCCCUUCUUUCACUUUAAUGGGAAACAUGAUUUUAUUUCACUGGACUCGCAAUGUUAAACAUUUUGCUGACCCAUAUUUCCAAUGUUAAAGGCCAACUAAAAAAAAUACCAGUUGAUCGUUCCGGAUUUUUCAAAAAAGAGGAGGAUGAGGGC